GUGGAGACUCUCUGGAAUGCAGUGGGUUAUCUCGUGCUACUCAUCCCAGGGGCCCGGCAGCUGCAACAAGAUGUUGAUCUCAGCUAGAUUUCCUGGGAUGCUGUGGAGUAAGAUCUCUUGGGGACUGAGAUGCUAAGAUGCCACAGUGAUGAAGGUCAUAUAAGCGCUAUCUAAAGUGACUGUAGGACAUUGGCAGAGCUAUCUAUUUAAGCACCAUUUCCCAUCUGCCGUGAAAGGACAACACUGCACUGCUAACCCUGCUGUGGAAUAAGGAUAAUACUGUUCUCUUGCUCACAGAGUGUUAUGAGGCUUAAAUAAUUGCUGGGAAGGUGCUUUGAGAUUAAAGGAACUGCCUAAGAGCAAAGAGAGAGUUUCAUAUUAUUACCAUCAGUCUCCAUGCCACUGCAGAUGUAAACUAUGAU